GAGUUUGAUCCUGGCUCAGGAUGAACUUUGGCGGCGUGCUUAACACAUGCAAGUCGAACGAAGCACUUUAUUUGAUUUCUUCGGAAUGAAGAUUUUGUGUCUGAGUGGCGGACGGGUGAGUAACGCGUGGGUAACCUGCCUCAUACAGGGGGAUAACAGUUGGAAACGACUGCUAAUACCGCAUAAGCGCACAGGGUCGCAUGGCCUGGUGUGAAAAACUCCGGUGGUAUGAGAUGGACCCGCGUCUGAUUAGCCAGUUGGUGGGGUAACGGCCUACCAAAGCGACGAUCAGUAGCCGACCUGAGAGGGUGACCGGCCACAUUGGGACUGAGACACGGCCCAAACUCCUACGGGAGGCAGCAGUGGGGAAUAUUGCACAAUGGGGGAAACCCUGAUGCAGCGACGCCGCGUGAAGGAAGAAGUAUCUCGGUAUGUAAACUUCUAUCAGCAGGGAAGAAAAUGACGGUACCUGACUAAGAAGCCCCGGCUAACUACGUGCCAGCAGCCGCGGUAAUACGUAGGGGGCAAGCGUUAUCCGGAUUUACUGGGUGUAAAGGGAGCGUAGACGGAUGGACAAGUCUGAUGUGAAAGGCUGGGGCUCAACCCCGGGACUGCAUUGGAAACUGCCCGUCUUGAGUGCCGGAGAGGUAAGCGGAAUUCCUAGUGUAGCGGUGAAAUGCGUAGAUAUUAGGAGGAACACCAGUGGCGAAGGCGGCUUACUGGACGGUAACUGACGUUGAGGCUCGAAAGCGUGGGGAGCAAACAGGAUUAGAUACCCUGGUAGUCCACGCGGUAAACGAUG
rnacentral:rRNA from 1 species